rnacentral:rRNA from 1 species
UACGGAGGGUGCAAGCGUUAUCCGGAUUCACUGGGUUUAAAGGGUGCGUAGGCGGGCAGGUAAGUCAGUGGUGAAAUCUCUGGGCUUAACCCGGAAACUGCCGUUGAUACUAUCUGUCUUGAAUAUCGUGGAGGUAAGCGGAAUAUGUCAUGUAGCGGUGAAAUGCUUAGAUAUGACAUAGAACACCCAUUGCGAAGGCAGCUUACUACACGAUCAUUGACGCUGAGGCACGAAAGCGUGGGGAGCAAACAGG